CUUUUGUACGCGGGGCGCUGUCCUCAGAUAAUCACAUGGUAUGCUUUCACCACAAAGCCUUUUUGAAAUCUGACAAAGCGUCUGGAUUAACAAGAAGAUGUAACCAAUGUAUAACACUUGUAUUUUCAUCACUGGAUGUUGUUGAGGCCGGGCGCUAGCGGUAUGCCUUUCCCAAGGAGGCUAGCAUUGGAUGUGCUCGUGGAAACAGAACAACUUAUUUACAAUUUACAGGUGAAGUGUAGUACUGCUGGUAGUAGUAGUACCACCAGUAGAGCUGGUAUGUGUCUCUGGACGCGGGCCUUACUUUUUUAACCAUUUAUCCAUUUUCAAGCAAACGGAAUGAGCAGCAGAUACGUUUGGCUACAUAUGGACUGUUAGUGGAAUUCCUGCGAGAGGGAAGGAGAUACAGACAAGGCAGAACAUCUAAAAAGGAAGCUGAUAAAUCGGAGCAGGGUGACGGUUGGACUUCCUCCCCUCAGAGUGGAUUUCCCCUCCCUAACCUUGGGAAAGAGAUGCCACGUGCUCCACAGUUAGAGGUUCCACAUCUCUCUGACGAAGACCCUCUGCCAUGUUACCACCACCAACCUUCCACUGUGCCAGACUGCUGACUAGGUCAAGCCAACCAGGAGAGUAAUUGGGAGAGAAUAUCACUGCCCCAGCCAAUGCCAGACAGACAGACAGAUCAAGAUGACCUGGGAAAUCCAUUUGGGCAUUGGCUUACAUCACCUCUCCACACGGGAUCCAGUGAGGGGCCACAGGGAUGUGGAACAAUUGUUGCAGAUCAUGGAAUUCCCAUCGGUUGGAGCUUCCCGCCUGUUUCGUGGUGGAGCUAAAAGUAGCAUCUGCCAUCGUUCAGUCAGAGCAUCAAACUCUCCGAUUAGUUUCCUUCUCCUGACCCAUAAAGUUAGGGGAGCUGUGAAUGUUCUUCUCUCUGUACACUCACUGAGAUGUUUCACAUUGUGUAUAAACCCCAUGACAAACGGUAAGAUGGCGCUUGUCUGUUCUCUUUGAAGAGACUGUGUGGAGAUGGAUUGCACAGGCUCUGCUAUCUGACAGCUAGCUGGGCCUCUAAGUUCACAGUGUUACAGAAAAGCUGGAACAAGCGUGUGGACAUGGAGAAAACACACACUGAAAGACCAUCCCACAGAGAACUAGAAAGAUGUAGAAUGUACUGGAUGAAAUUUCCUAGUCUUUACAACUGACAUGGAGUCAGUCCAAGACACUCACCUUGAACUCUAAAUGGUACACUUCUGUUGUUCCUCUCAUUACCAUUCCUGUCAAGUCCUGUGUUCAUACUGGGAUUAGUACAUAGUUCUCACACCCAUAGGCGGAUGUCAUGAGCAAGACAUAGGUCAAAAGGUUGAAUGUUGUCUGUGUUGUAGGGGUACGGUGUUUAAAAAUGAUUUCUGUCAGAUGUCUGUCUACCUGCUGAAAUCCAAGUUCAGAAGACGUUGCUCUGCUCAGAAUGUAGCAGUUGAGGCAACACUCCCAAAGCAGUACAAAUGUAACAUUUGUUGUGGAGAAAAUAAAUCUGAGCUGUCCGAUACAUUUUAUGCAUAUUGUUGUUCAAAUUUCAGUGAUACAUUUCUGUAGACAAUGAGCAAAAAGCAUCCCUCAAUCGUACAGAGUGCACCUUUCACCAUACCAAGGGUACACACCAAUAACGACCCCAGGUGGCUAAGCAACACACAAACCAGUCCUUCAUUAACCAGUCACUAAGGUUGC
ensembl:lncRNA